GGAGCGGUGUCCGAGUGGUUUAAGGAGACGGUCUUGAAAACCGCUGAGCCGCAAGGCUCCGGGGGUUCGAAUCCCCCCUGCUCCG
rnacentral:tRNA from 1 species